CUGGUUAAAGUUUCACAUGCAAGUUACUAUCUCCAAAACUAAUGCAGAUAUUGAAUUGAAACUUUACAUGUGUCUUCAGGGUUAUAAAACUAGUUUAUAGCACCAAGUCCCAUAACUCUGACCUUCAUUUUGGCCAAAUUAUGCCCCCUUUUGGACUUAGAAAAUUCUGGUUAAAGUUUUGCGUACAAGUACAUACAGCUAUUACUAAAAGGCAUAUAGAUUUGAAACUUAUUUCUUCUUUUUCUAGAUCAGUUACCUACCUCACUGGGUCAAGUCCCAUAACUCUGACAUGUAUUUUGAGCAAAUUAUGCCCCCUUUUGGACUUAGAAAAUCCUGGUUAAAGUUUAACAUGCAAGUUACUAUCUCCAAAACUAAUACAGAUAUUAAAUUGAAACUUCACAUGUGUCUUCGGGGUUAUAAAACUAGUUGAUAGAAUCAAGUCCCAUAACUCUGACAUGUAUUUUUGGCAAAUUAUGCCCCCUUUUGGACUUAGAAAAUUCUGGUUAAAGUUUUGCGUGCAAGUACAUACAGCUAUUACCAAAAGGCAUAUAGCUUUGAAUCUUAUUAAUUCCUUUUCUAGGUCAAUUACCAGCCUCACUAGGUCAAGUUCCAUAACUCUUAACAUGUAUUUUGAACAAAUUAUGCCCCCUUUUGGACUUAGAAAAUUCUGGUUAAAGUUUACAUGCAAGUUACUAUCUCCAAAACUAAUGCAGAUAUUGAAUUGAAACCUAACAUGUUUCUUCAGGGUUAUAAAACUAGUUGAUAGCAUCAAGUCCCAUAACUCUGAUAUGUAUUUUGGUCAAAUUAUGUCCCAUUUCGAACUUAAAACUCUUUUGAUAUUUAACAUUUUGGGUAAUAAUUUCCUGCUUCUGUGACAAUAUUUCGAAUAGUCGAGCUUGGCUGUCUUACGGACAGCUCUUGUUAUAUUUAGAUUAAUAAAUGUAAAAAGUCUGUAUUAAAUGUACAGGUCAUCUUUUGUACAAAAAUUAAGGAAAAAAUGUUUGUAUUAUUUUCAUUUUCAGUUUUGGUAGAGAGAAGUUUGAGUAUGUACAGUUGUUUGACCUGUCUUACCCUGUGGUAGUCCCAGAUGUUACCAUUAUGAAUAAAUGCAGGAGAACUUGAAGACAAUGGUUAGUGCAGAAGGGACAUAAAAGAAAUGAUGAAAGUAACAGAUAUUAAGAAGUGCUACGUGAAAUGGACUUUACCCCAACUGUGCUGCAUGAUGUAUAUUCAAGUGUGAGACAGUCAUGCACCAGCUAUAAACUGAGAUAGACCCACACAUGAAAUGUGUUGCCUUUUCUAUGUAUUAUCAUCUGUACAGAAUGUGUUUAUGACAAGACUGUAUACAUAUAUAUCGUUAAAUCAUUUUUUAGCUUGACUAUUCGAAGAAUAGGGGAGCUAUCCUACUCGCCCGGCAUCGGCGUGAGCGUGAGCGUCCUACAAAUGUUAAAGUUUGCGUACCACCCCAAAUAUUUUUAAAGUCCAUUGAGAUAUUGCUUUCAUAUUUUGCAUACUUGUUUACCAUCAUGACCCCAGUCUGUAAAAAGGAGGAGACAACUCUAUCAAGCAUUUUGACUGAAUUAUGGCCCCUUUUCAACUUAGAAUAAAUGUUAAAGUUUGCGUACCACCCCAAAUAUUUUCAAAGUCCAUUGAGAUAUUGCUUUCAUAUUUUGCAUACUUGUUUACCAUCAUGACCCCAGUCUGUAAAAAGGAGGAGGCAACUCUAUCAAACAUUUUGACUGAAUCAUGGCCCCUUUUCGACUGAGAAUGAAUGUUAAAGUUUGCGUACCACCCCAAAUAUUUUAUAAGUCCAUUGAGAUAUUGCUUUCAUAUUUUGCAUACUUGUUUACCAUCAUGACCCCAGUCU